GCUGCCAGGCGAUCGAAGACGCCACGGUCAUCGCUUCGAAGCUGGAGGAAGCGACGCACAGGUCGCAGAUCGAGACGGCGCUCAGCGAGUACCGUGACACUCGCCUAGUCCGUGCCUCGUCUGUCCAGGGCCUUUCUCGUUUCGCGAGUGA
rnacentral:SRP_RNA from 1 species